UUCCGGUUGAUCCUGCCGGACCUGACUGCUAUCGGAUUGAUACUAAGCCAUGCGAGUUUUUGUAGUAAUACAAGGCAGACGGCUCAGUAACACGUAGUCAAUCUAACCUAUGGACGAGGAUAACCUCGGGAAACUGAGAAUAAUACUCGAUAGAUCAUUAUGCCUGGAACGGUUUAUGGUUCAAAUGAAUUUCGCCAUAGGAUGGGACUGCGGUCUAUCAGCUUGUUGGUGAUGUAAUGGACCACCAAGGCUAUAACAGAUACGGGCUCUGAGAGGAGAAGCCCGGAGAUGGGUACUGAGACACGGACCCAGGCCCUAUGGGGCGCAGCAGGCGAGAAAACUUUGCAAUGUGCGAAAGCACGACAAGGUUAAUCCGAGUGUUUUCUGCUAAAGAAAUCUUUUGUUAGUUUUAAAAUCACUAUCGAAUAAGGGGUGGGCAAGUUCUGGUGUCAGCCGCCGCGGUAAAACCAGCACCUCAAGUGGUCAGGAGGAUUAUUGGGCCUAAAGCAUCCGUAGCCGGCUAUGUUAGUUUUCGGUUAAAUCCAUGUGCUCAACACAUGGGCUGCCGAGAAUACUGUAUAGCUAGGGAGUGGGAGAGGUAGACGGUACUCGGUAGGAAGGGGUAAAAUCCUUUGAUCUAUUGAUGACCACCAGUGGCGAAGGCGGUCUACCAGAACACGUCCGACGGUGAGGGAUGAAAGCUGGGGGAGCAAACCGGAUUAGAUACCCGGGUAGUCCCAGCUGUAAACUAUGCAAACUCAGUGAUGCAUUGGCUUGUGGCCAAUGCAGUGCCGCAGAGA
rnacentral:rRNA from 1 species